CUGCUUUAAGAGCCCUGGUUAAUCAUCCACUACAACUGUGGCCAGCCCAGGAAAAAGGCAUCUCUUGAGCAACACCUCUUUCCCACAUGUCCUGCACACGUUCCCUGGCUGGCUGCAGCAUCGCCUCCUCCACGUGGAAGCAGCAUGCCCCAGAGCAGGAAGAAGAGCAGAGCCCUGCUGAUCUCAGUGCGGUGGAAUUUAGUCCCCAGGCUCCUUGGGAUCUCUCUUUUAUUGCAUUUAUUUUCUGUGAACGGCCUGAAGGACUUGAUGGGGAGCCACAGCCCGAGCCCCCUCAGCAGCUUGUGUUGUCCUCACCUUCACAGAUCUUAAGGCAAGAGGGAAAUUCUGCCCCACAGUUGGGGAAACUGCAAAGAGGACAAAUUUCCAUCAUGGAAUUCCAGUCCUUUAAAGGCAGCAUCACCCUCUGGGAGCUCUUAGCAGAAUGACAGCUGCCCUGACACCCACUAAAUACAGGGAAGGAGAAUUCUCUAUCGUGGUCUUCAAACCCUGUUCCUGCAUUUUGGGAAGGAAUUGCACAUUCAGGCAAGGCUAAUUCAAUAUUCUGGGCCCCUAAGCUACUGUGGGACUUUAGGUGAAACAAGGACUUAAGAAAUAAAUGACCUGCCUGAAAAUAAAUCAUACACAGCCCCUGCUUUAGCAGCUGUACAAACG